UAAUGCACCCCAAGAGUGUUCAGGCAUUGAAACUCUGAAGGUAAUGAAGAGGAAAGAGCGGCAGUCUGAGAAUUAAGAAGACAGAGCCACCAUCUCUCAGCUGCUUAAGAAGGGAAAACCCAGCCAAAAAAUAAAGAAGUCUUCACUCCAUUCAAUCGUAGAGUCACUACUGAUCGUAGAGUCCAGACUUAUCAUCACUCUAGAAGAUGAUGCUACAAUAAAGUCUCAGCAUGAACCUACCGUCAGAACUGAAUCUAAAGAAAGCACCGAGGCUAAAGCUCAG
rnacentral:lncRNA from 1 species